GGCCCAAAGGGUAGUUUUAGAUAUAAUAAAAUAGAAUUUAAAAUUUAUUUAGUAGUUAUAUACAAAUAUAAAAUGUAAACCCAAAGACGAAAGUUAUACUAUAUAUUCUUGAACCUACUAUAGCUGAGAGACAAACUGGGAUUAGAUACCCCACUAUGCUCAACUUUAAAAUGGACCCCCCCGCCAGAGUACUACGAGCUACAGCUUAAAACUCAAAGGACUUGGCGGUGCUCUAUACCCACCUAGAGGAGCCUGUUCUAUAAUCGACACCCCCCGAUAAACCUCACCAUUUCUUGCCACUACAGCCUAUAUACCACCGCCCUAGUUUACCUUUUAAAAGAACAAUAGUGAACAAAACAAUUAAAAAUAAAAAAGUCAGGUCAAGGUGUAGCAAAUGAAAUGGAAAGAAAUGGGCUACAUUUUUUAUAAUAAAAAACACGGAAUAUUAUAUGAAAUAAAGUAUAAAGGAGGAUUUAGAAGUAAAAAGAAAAAAGAGUGUUCUUUUUAAAUUGGCAAUAGAGCNCGCACACACCGCCCGUCACCCUCUUCAAAAAUAAAGUAAUUUAAAUAAACAUAUAUAUAUUUAUAAGAAAAGGUAAGUCGUAACAUGGUAAGUCUACCGGAAGGUGGCCUUGGAUAU
rnacentral:rRNA from 1 species